AGUAUUAAUUAUGGCACUCAGAGUAGGCUUCAAUGAUCAAGUGAUAUUUAGGCAAGGACAGGAAGGCAGUGAGGAAGCAAGCCAAGUGGUUAUGUGGGGGAAGAGUGUAUCAGGUAGAGGAAACAGCUCAUGCAUAUCCCUAUGCUGGAACAAUGCCAGGCAUGUUUGCGAAGCAGCAAAGGCCAAUGGUUUGAGUGUCAUGAAGAAGGGGAAGAAUAGUUGAAACUAUGGCCAAAUCAUAAAAGCUUUACAGGAACUUUAUAGGCCAGGGGUUUAUUAGAACUUUGGCUUUUACUGUGAGUGAAAUUAAGGGCCAAUGGAGAAUUCUGAACAAAGGAAUUAUAUGAUCUGACUUGUGUUAAAAGGGUCAUUUUGGCUGCUUUACUGAGAAUAGAGGGCAAAGGUAGAAGAAAGAAGACUGGUUAAGAGGCUACCUGGAAAUCCAGUCAAGAUAUGAUGGUGACUUAGUAAGGCUUGCAGCUAUACAACACAUUUGUUUCAUUGCUUUCAAGUGCCAGUGCUGGAGGCUCUGAAUAAGUCCACGGGAGAACUUCAGUCACAGCAGCAAACAGGUCUACCGAGCAGAUAAGAUAACAUGCUUGGGAGACUGACAAUACGAGCUAUCCGUUUCUUUCACUAAGCCUUAUGAAAGUGGAGCCUCUGCUGAAGACUAAACACUUGGGCCUUUACCUACAGAAAUGGACAGAUG